AUGGCUUCAUCUUUAAUUAUGCUGGCUGCUGCUGCUGCUGCCCUGGUGGCUGAUGCUUGCUGCGGCUGCUGAUGUUGCUGCAAUGUUGCUGUGAGGCGUGCAUACUGCCAAUCCAUCUGAUGAAGUUGCACCUGUCGGAAUGUGGGUAAAGUUGCACCUGUCGGGCAUGCAUGUUGAGGGGAAGGUAUAUUUCCGGGAUGAUGUGUUCCGAUUUCUGCAAGAGAAAUCACACAAAAUGAACUACAUAUGGUCCACUCUUUGGAGCACAUUGAAUCUGUAGAGCUUACAAGCCGUAUUUUUUCUAGGUGCAUGUGUUCUAUUUUUUUUCUUUUUGUUGAGUGAUGCACACGAGACCAUGUGGUGGGUGUAUGUGGUUGUUAACAGAUAUGUUGAGAUUCAUCUUUAGAUUUCUUAGUUCCUGUUGAUUGGUAACGAGGGGUGACCUCUUUUUGAUUUCCUAGAAGGUUGAGAAAUCAAAAGAGACUACCUUUGACCAAAGGGAUUGCUGCACGGUUAGAGGAUGAAUUAUUGAUCAGUCUUGUGGUCUUCACUUUGCUUGCUUAAUUUUGUACCAACAUGUGCAUGAAAUGUAGUGACUGUUAGAUGUUAAAUGCCAUGCAUUCAAAACACUUACUGUAACUAUGAUUUUGUCCAUCUUUUCCACUAACGGGUCAUUUUGUUCGUGCUUUCUAUACACAUUGUUGCCACAUUCAAUUUUCUUCAAUUAAUUUGUUUUGUGUUUUUUAUAAUGCUUUCUAAUAGAGAAUCAGCUAGACGCUCUAAAAGAAGAAAACAAGCUCAUUUGACUGAGCUAGAAACACAGGAUGUCCUUUGUCUUGUCCCUUGGGACCCAGCCUAUAACACUCCACACUUUCUCAUCAAAGAAUACAACACAUGAAUUUGUUGCAUCAGAUAGGCCAACUGUCAUUUAUAGUAGUAACAAGAAAUUACUCUAUAGCAAUGUAAAUUUGAAACAGGCCAUUCAUAUGUGCCCUUUCAACUCUGCAGCUUUUCCGGACAGGUCCCCAUGGUUCAUACCAAUUCAAAGAUUGGAACAGAUGCACCACCAAGCAGUACUCCAAACUGGACAAUUAACAUUUCAGAUGUAAGAAUAGUUAAAGUCAGUAAUAUCUCACUAGCUACCUCUGAGAAGGAUAUUAAGGAAUUCUUCUCUUUUUCUGGUGAUAUCCAGUAUGUUGAAAUGCAAAGGGAAACUGAAACAUCUUAGCUUGCAUACGUUACCUUCAAGGAAUCACACGGAGCAGAUACAACUAUGCUUUUGACAGUAUGUCAAUUGAUUUUCUAUAUCAGUCUUGAUCUCAAUUUUUUCAUUAUUAAUUUUUAAAAUAAAAAGAUUUUGACUGAACGAUGCAGUUCUGUACAAAGUUGUAGAAAUCAAACGUAUCCGGAAGGCAUGAAACCCUAAUGUAUGAAACAUGUGCCUUAUAUUUUGUAAAAUUAGGAAAUUUCUAAAAUAUUCAGUUUAAUAAAGAUGUACGCA